UUAAAGUAUUGUUUCCCAUACAAACACCGAAGUUAAGCAAUACCGAGCCUGAUCAGUAUUUAUAUGGGUGAGAAUUUGGGAAUACCAGGUGCUGUAAG